rnacentral:rRNA from 1 species
AUACGGAGGAUCCGAGCGUUAUCCGGAUUUAUUGGGUUUAAAGGGAGCGUAGGCGGACGCUUAAGUCAGUUGUGAAAGUUUGCGGCUCAACCGUAAAAUUGCAGUUGAUACUGGGUGUCUUGAGUACAGUAGAGGCAGGCGGAAUUCGUGGUGUAGCGGUGAAAUGCUUAGAUAUCACGAAGAACUCCGAUUGCGAAGGCAGCCUGCUGGACUGUAACUGACGCUGAUGCUCGAAAGUGUGGGUAUCAAACAGGAUUAGAUACCCUGGUAGUCCACACAGUAAACGAUGAAUACUCGCUGUUUGCGAUAUACAGUAAGCGGCCAAGCGAAAGCGUUAAGUAGUCCACCUGGGGAGUACGCCGGCAACGGUGAAACUCAAAUGAAUUGACGGG